GCCCCAGUAACGGCGAGUGAAGCGGCAGGAGCUCAAAUUUGAAAUCUGGGGCCCCCGGCCUCCGAGUUGUAAUUUGGAGAGGCUCCUUCGGGGGGGAGCGCUGGCCCAUGUUCCUUGGAACAGGACGUCGCAGAGGGUGAGAAUCCCGUGCCAGGCCGGCCGCCUCCUCCCACGUGAAGGGCCUUCGACGAGUCGAGUUGUUUGGGAAUGCAGCUCCAAGCGGGUGGUAAAUUUCAUCUAAAGCUAAAUACCGGCGGGAGACCGAUAGCGCACAAGUAGAGUGAUCGAAAGAUGAAAAGCACUUUGAAAAUAGAGUCAAAAAGUACGUGAAAUUGUUGAAAGGGAAGCGCUUGAGACCAGACUCAGACCCAGGCAAACACCGCGCCCCCAGGGGCCGUGCAAUUGCCCGGUGCUGGGCCAGCAUCAGUUGGCGUGGCGGGACAAGGGCGCGGGAAAUGUGGCUCCCCUCGGGGAGUGUUAUCAGGCCCGCGCCGGAUGCCGCCGACGCCGACUGAGGACCGCGCCUCGGCUAGGAUGCUGGCUUAAUGGCCUUCAGCGACCCGUCUUGAAACACGGACCAAGGAGUCUAACAUCUAUGCGAGUGUUUGGGCGCCAAACCCUUGCGCGGAAUGAAAGUGAGCGGAGGUGGGAACCCCUCACGGGGCGCACCAUCGACCGAUCCUGAUGUCUUCGGAUGGAUUUGAGUAGGAGCAUAGCUGUUGGGACCCGAAAGAUGGUGAACUAUGCCUGAAUAGGGUGAAGCCAGAGGAAACUCUGGUGGAGGCUCGCAGCGGUUCUGACGUGCAAAUCGAUCGUCAAAUUUGGGUAUAGGGGCGAAAGACUAAUCGAACCAUCUAGUAGCUGGGUCCUGCCGAUU
rnacentral:rRNA from 1 species